CAAUGGCGAAGCUUCCUACCAUCCUGCUGCUCUUGUUCCUUGUCAUGGCCUCUGAGAUGGGGACGACGACCGUGGAGGCGAGGACAUGCCUGUCGCAGAGCCACAGGUUCAAGGGGACCUGUUUGAGGGAGGCCAACUGCGCUAGCGUCUGCCAGACUGAGGGAUUCAAAGGAGGGGUUUGCGAGGGCCUCCGCCGCCGUUGCUUCUGCGAAACCGACUGUCACUGAUGCCUGAGUUCUUGGCUUUAAUAAGUAAUGUCGGACUAUCUGAGAAGAAUAAGAUGGACCUGGUGGUGUUGGUUUUACAGUCUUCUUCGGUGUGAGGACUGGAUACUUUCAUCUAGGUUUCUGAUAUGUAGUUGUUUGUGUCUGGGUUGAGUUGAAGGGCUGUGUUCUGUAGUUGGAUUUGUG
rnacentral:misc_RNA from 1 species